UGUAAAGUAAGGCUUCUAUGUCAGAU
rnacentral:piRNA from 1 species